rnacentral:rRNA from 1 species
GAUGAACGCUGGCGGCGUGCCUAACACAUGCAAGUCGAACGGAGAUUACGGACGGAAGUUUUCGGAUGGAAGACUGUAAUUCUUAGUGGCGGACGGGUGAGUAACGCGUGGGCAACCUGCCCUAUACAGGGGGAUAGCAGCUGGAAACGGCUGGUAAGACCGCAUAAGUCGGCGAGACCGCAUGGUUUUGCCGGGAAAUGAGCAAUCAGGUAUAGGAUGGGCCCGCGUCCGAUUAGCCAGUUGGCAGGGUAAAAGCCUACCAAAGCAACGAUCGGUAGCCGGACUGAGAGGUCGGACGGCCACAUUGGGACUGAGACACGGCCCAAACUCCUACGGGAGGCAGCAGUGGGGGAUAUUGCACAAUGGAGGAAAAUCUGAUGCAGCGACGCCGCGUGAGUGAAGAAGUAUUUCGGUAUGUAAAGCCCUAUCAGCAGGGAAGAUGAUGACGGUACCUGACUAAGAAGCCCCGGCUAACUACGUG